rnacentral:rRNA from 1 species
GAGCAAUCCUGGUGGCGAGUGGCGAACGGGUGAGUAAUACAUCGGAACGUGUCCUGUAGUGGGGGAUAGCCCGGCGAAAGCCGGAUUAAUACCGCAUACGCUCUACGGAGGAAAGGGGGGGAUCUUCGGACCUCCCGCUACAGGGGCGGCCGAUGGCAGAUUAGCUAGUUGGUGGGGUAAAGGCCUACCAAGGCGACGAUCUGUAGCUGGUCUGAGAGGACGACCAGCCACACUGGGACUGAGACACGGCCCAGACUCCUACGGGAGGCAGCAGUGGGGAAUUUUGGACAAUGGGGGAAACCCUGAUCCAGCAAUGCCGCGUGUGUGAAGAAGGCCUUCGGGUUGUAAAGCACUUUUGUCCGGAAAGAAAACCUCUGGGUUAAUACCCCGGGGGGAUGACGGUACCGGAAGAAUAAGCACCGGCUAACUACGUGCCAGCAGCCGCGGUAAUACGUAGGGUGCAAGCGUUAAUCGGAAUUACUGGGCGUAAAGCGUGCGCAGGCGGUCCGCUNAGACAGAUGUGAAAUCCCC